rnacentral:rRNA from 1 species
AAAUUGAAGAGUUUGAUCAUGGCUCAGAUUGAACGCUGGCGGCAGGCCUAACACAUGCAAGUCGAACGGUAACAGAAAGCAGCUUGCUGCUUUGCUGACGAGUGGCGGACGGGUGAGUAAUGUCUGGGAAACUGCCUGAUGGAGGGGGAUAACUACUGGAAACGGUGGCUAAUACCGCAUAACGUCGCAAGACCAAAGAGGGGGACCUUCGGGCCUCUUGCCAUCAGAUGUGCCCAGAUGGGAUUAGCUUGUUGGUGAGGUAACGGCUCACCAAGGCGACGAUCCCUAGCUGGUCUGAGAGGAUGACCAGCCACACUGGAACUGAGACACGGUCCAGACUCCUACGGGAGGCAGCAGUGGGGAAUAUUGCACAAUGGGCGCAAGCCUGAUGCAGCCAUGCCGCGUGUAUGAAGAAGGCCUUCGGGUUGUAAAGUACUUUCAGCGGGGAGGAAGGUGUUGCGGUUAAUAACCGCAGCAAUUGACGUUACCCGCAGAAGAAGCACCGGCUAACUCCGUGCCAGCAGCCGCGGUAAUACGGAGGGUGCAAGCGUUAAUCGGAAUUACUGGGCGUAAAGCGCACGCAGGCGGUCUGUCAAGUCGGAUGUGAAAUCCCCGGGCUCAACCUGGGAACUGCAUUCGAAACUGGCAGGCUUGAGUCUUGUAGAGGGGGGUAGAAUUCCAGGUGUAGCGGUGAAAUGCGUAGAGAUCUGGAGGAAUACCGGUGGCGAAGGCGGCCCCCUGGACAAAGACUGACGCUCAGGUGCGAAAGCGUGGGGAGCAAACAGGAUUAGAUACCCUGGUAGUCCACGCCGUAAACGAUGUCUACUUGGAGGCUGUGCCCUUGAGGCGUGGCUUCCGGAGCUAACGCGUUAAGUAGACCGCCUGGGGAGUACGGCCGCAAGGUUAAAACUCAAAUGAAUUGACGGGGGCCCGCACAAGCGGUGGAGCAUGUGGUUUAAUUCGAUGCAACGCGAAGAACCUUACCUGGUCUUGACAUCCACAGAAGUUUGCAGAGAUGCGAAUGUGCCUUCGGGAACUGUGAGACAGGUGCUGCAUGGCUGUCGUCAGCUCGUGUUGUGAAAUGUUGGGUUAAGUCCCGCAACGAGCGCAAC